rnacentral:lncRNA from 1 species
UGUACUGAAUUGAUCAGGGUAACGCAUGGUGUGAUUUUUCUAAUAUAAUAGACACAACAGGGAAAUGAAUACAGAAGGGCUCAAAGUAUUUUAUAGAGGGUAUACGAGCAAUUUGACGUCGCAGAAAACCUGUCAGAAAGAAGCACCAUGGAAUAGAGGAAAGAGGCCCGGAAUCCAGCCCCGGGAACUGUGACAGCCUCUGGGGUGGGGACUCUCGUGGAAAGGCUAGAUGAUGGAGUCACGUGCUCCCUUCCCGUUCACUAGCUGCUGAUUGGCCAACUGCUCCUGCCAGCUGUCCCUGCACUCCAGCUUCCUACCAUAUGCUCCAGAAUAACGUCUGGAAAGUGAGCCCCAUCCAUCAAGUUUGUCACACCUUGCACUCAAUCUGCUACCUUCUCUACAGUGUAAUGGCAUUAUUAAAAAUCAUUUUCAUUAACAUUUAUAUUUACAAAAAAAAGACAAUUUUUUUUCAUUAGAACUCCUUAAAGCCA